rnacentral:rRNA from 1 species
ACUCAAAGGAAUUGACGGGGACCCGCACAAGCAGCGGAGCAUGUGGUUUAAUUCGAAGCAACGCGAAGAACCUUACCAAGACUUGACAUUCUGUGAAGGCCCUAGAGAUAGGGAAUCCCGCAAGGGCACAGGGACAGGUGGUGCAUGGUUGUCGUCAGCUCGUGUCGUGAGAUGUUCGGUUAAGUCCGGCAACGAGCGCAACCCUUGUGAUAUGUUGGCAAUAUUAAGUUAGCAACUCAUAUUAGACUGCCGUGGACAACACGGAGGAAGGCGGGGACGACGUCAAAUCAUCAUGCCCCUUACGUCUUGGGCUACACACGUGCUACAAUGGGCGCAACAAACUGUUACUAAGCUGAGAGGUGGAGUUAAUCAGAGAAAAGCGUUCUCAGUUCGGAUUGUGGGCUGCAACUCGCCCACAUGAAGUCGGAGUUGCUAGUAAUCCCGGAUCAGCACGCCGGGGUGAAUGCGUUCCCGGGUCUUGUACACACCGCCCGU